rnacentral:lncRNA from 8 species
AUGGAGAACUUCAAGCCAGCAUUUGACAUUCUGAUCUCACAAGUACGAAAAACAGGCAGUUUUUACCUGACCUUCUUUGCUGUUUUUCUUUACCACGUUGUGUUUGACCACUUAAAAUGCUCUUGUGAAGAUGGAGUUAAACCAGACCUUACAUAUGAGCAGGUUAUUUUCUACAUGGUGUCUCCAGCUCUGAUCUUCUUUCUCUUGACUCUCUGGAUGGAUGGAGAGUUUCAACGAAUCUUGAGAAUUACAUGCAGAUGCAGAUUUAUUUUUUUGGGAAGACUGUUGGGAAUCCUCUUUAAAGCAGCCUCUAUAGGGUUGCUGUGGGUUGUGUCUGUGCUUUUUGAUGGGGACUGGUACGUGUGCUAUCAAAGACCAAAUCAUAACUGCAGAUACAUCACGGAUAAUACAACAUACCAAACGGACCUAGAAAAGCAAAUUAAUUUCAAAAGGGACUCCAUGGUUUAUGGCUCAGAACUGGUUCUGUUUCUGCUUUUUGGGAAUUCUAUUCUGACUGCAGUAUCUUGGAGAGAUAUCUGUUCUAGACUUUGCUGGUGUAUCAAACCUUACUACAAGGCACUCUAUAAAGAGAAUCUUUACGAAGAGACAGAAAUUCUUAUUGAAAAAGACUUAAAGAAAACAGCUCAGGAGUGUGUAGUUCUUUAUAGCAGAGAACUACUACCGCCCCUUUUGAAUGCAGCCCGUAGAAACCCCACCACACAGGGAGAAGGUGGGUCAACCAUUACAGCCACCGCCACACAGGGAGGAGGCGGGGCAACCAUUAAAACCACCACCACACAGGGAGGAGGCGGGGCAAGAAGCAGCACCACCCAUCCUGAGGUGGAAGAUAGAGUGAUCACCAUUGACAACCUUGAUUUUAACAUUAUAUCUGAUCUAUAUAAUCAUAUAAUUGAUCAAAUCAACAUAGAAGAUAGAACAAGGAGGAACACGCAACCACUACUAACCUCAACUACCAACCCCCCAGCUCCCUCAACUACCACCAGCCCCACUCCCUCAACUACUACCAACCUCCCAGCUCCCUCAACUACCACCAGCCCCACUCCCUCAACUACCACCAGCCCCACUCCUUCAACUACUACCAACCCCCCAACCCCCCAGCUCCCUCAACCACCAGCCCCACUCCUUCAAGAAGACGGACAAACAACGGAAAUGUUGGAAAUGUCAAAUCUUGGUUCUAAUAUGUAAAAUGAUAUAGACAUUCAUAGUAUCAUACACUGUAUGUGAACCGUUUGUGAAAACUGUGGCUUUCAAGUGAAAUACUAAAAUAAGCCACAAAAAUAAACUGUAGCGAGUAGAGACCCUGUGUUUCUAAGGCUUCUUCUGUCUCACAAUAAACUGUGUUUCUGGUUACAAUUGCAGCAAUAGUUUGGUACAAUACAAUUAGUAUGGGUUAUAUGAGGGAGAGUGAACAACUGUGGGUGAUAAACCUCAACAACUAGCCUGUAUAAGUCUGUAUAAUGUCACAGGGUGGAUAUGUGAGCCGUGUGGCAAACAUGAGCCUGUUAGACCACAGUGAUGGUUGACAGGCUGUUCUAAAUCAUCUUUACUUCUAGGCUAUAACCAAUGUAAUCUUCAUUAAUGCAUAUAUGUUAAUAUAACCAAUGAAUUACUUUUGUCCUUGAUGCUAAAGUUCACAUUUUGUUACUGUUGAUUAUCGUCUGUCUUUAUGUCAAUCUUUAAAGAACAAUUCAAAUAAACUCAGCAAAAAAUAAACGUCCUCUCACUGUCAACUGCGUUUAUUUUCAGCAAACUUAACAUGUGUAAAUAUUUGUAUGAACAUAAGAUUCAACAACUGAGACAAACUGAACAAGUUCCACAGAUAUGUGACUAACAGAAAUUGAAUAAUGUGUCCCUGAACAAAGGGGGGGGGGUCAAAAUCAAAAGUAACAGUCAGUAUCUGGUGUGGCCACCAGCUGCAUUAAGUACUGCAGUGCAUCUCCUCCUCAUGGACUGCACCAGAUUUGCCAGUUCUUGCUGUGAGAUGUUACCCCAUUCUUCCACCAAGGCACCUGCAAGUUCCUGGACAUUUCUGGGGGGAAUGGCCCUAGCCCUCACCCUCCGAUCCAACAGGUCCCAGACGUGCUCAAUGGGAUUGAGAUCCGGGCUCUUCGCUGACCAUGGCAGAACACUGAUAUUCCUGUCUUGCAGGAAAUUGCGCACAGAACGAGCAGUAUGGCUGGUGGCAUUGUCAUGCUGGAGGGUCAUGUCAGGAUGAGCCUGCAGGAAGGGUACCACAUGAGGGAGGAGGAUGUCUUCCCUGUAACGCACAGCGUUGAGAUUGCUUGCAACAAGCCGAUGAUGCUGUGAUACACCGCCCCAGACCAUGACAUACCCUCCACCUCCAAAUCGAUCCCGCUCCCGAGUACAGGCCUCGGCUAUAACGCUCAUUCCUUUGACGAUAAAUGUGAAUCCUACCAUCACCCCUGGUGAGACAAAAACCGCGACUCGUCAGUGAAGAGCACUGUUAGUGUCUUAACGACCGUUCCACAGGUGAAUGUUCAUUCAUUGUUUAUGGUUCAUUGAACAAGCAUAGGAAACAGUGUUGAAACCAUUUACAGUGAAGAUCUUUGAAGUUUAGAUUUUUCUGAAUUAUAUUUGAAAGACAGGGUCCUGAAAAAGGGACGUUUUUUUAUGCUGAGUUUAAUUAUAAUAAUACUAACAACCUUUAUCUCCUCCUGUCUUCAAUGUACCACAGCUGUGGUUCUCACUUUUCAAUACUAUACAUGUUUAUGCCGUUCAUUUUGAAAAGUCUCUGAAAAUAAAAUAAUAGUUUUCUUUUUCCUGUACAGCCUUGAUUGAUCAAUUAAUGACUGAAACAUUUGUAUAAUAAUGGACCAAAAUCAACACUGUCAGUCAACUAAAAUCAACCAGCAAUGAUUGGGGUGAUAUUUGUAUUGGUAAAUGGGGUCCUACUCUUCCUUUUGUCAUUUCCUAAAGGCCAAGCUAGGCCUUUUCAGUGGAUCCACAUGUAGAGAAUGGUGUAACAAUGGUCAGAAUUCUGUGAAAAUUCUGAAUAGAAGGCACUGAUUGGCUCUGAUCAACCAGUUGGCUGUUUAAGACAUCAUCAACACUAAACACUAGUUGUAUCUGUCAGAUCAGAUCUACAGUCAUUUCUCUCCACUUUCUACUUUUGGAUAAUUGAAUGAUUCAUAGCAGAUCUUGCAGCGUGAUAGGGUCAAAUCAAGGUCACUAUCAGCAGACUUCCUGUUGACUGCCUGAACUGCUGUUAGUCUCCUCUAAAGGUUUCAAUGUACUGUCUGGUUGUAGAGAAGGAGAGAGGUAAGGAGACUAAUCACUAUUCACUAUAACUGGCCACCAAUGUUCCCUCUCUUUUUUUUCGGCACUGACCAAAUUUCUGGUCUGCUGAGCCAAAACUUGAAAGUUGUAAAUAUUCUGUGCCACUUCUGCCGCAGGCGUUUAUUGUGAACACUGAGUCAGACUCGAGUCACAAAUAUGAUGACUUGGACUGGACUUUGACACCAAUGACUCGUGACUUGACUUGAUACCCUCCCCAACCCCAAAUAUUAAAAAUGAUGCUAUUGUAACAGCUG